AAGGGAUAAUUGUCUCCACUGCUAUACCAGCUAAUAAGAUCUUACAUCUUGUCCCUGUGACUUUAUCUUUUGUGAUCUUAGAUCCUUCAUGAGGACUCGUUCAUCACUGACAGCUUUGUUUGGUCCAGUGCACACAUGUUCAGCCUGGAGAAAAUGAUCAGAUUGCCCUUACUGUGUCCUCAGUUUACUUAAAAUGCAACUGUACACACCUACAGAAGCUCUCAUGUUGUAAUCAAGUGCAGAGCUAUCACACUGUGGAUACAAGGUGAGUGGGCUAUGGAGCACUAAGAAUGGUUUAUGGAUUUUAGAAUGGUAAUGUAAAAGUGGGUUCUUGUUUGUAAUGUUAUUUUUGAACUGUUGUGCUGUUUAAGUCUUUAGUACUGUAAGUGUACAAAAAAUGUGACUGAUUUAUUUCCUGUUUAUCUGUAUUGUCAGUGAAACUGGAGAAGCACCACUGUUUAUACUUGUAAUAUGUUUACUGUUAGUCCUGGA
rnacentral:lncRNA from 1 species